rnacentral:rRNA from 1 species
GGUGAGUAAUGUAUCGGAACGUGCCUAGUAGCGGGGGAUAACUACGCGAAAGCGUAACUAAUACCGCAUACGCCCUACGGGGGAAAGCAGGGGAUCGCAAGACCUUGCACUAUUAGAGCGGCCGAUAUCGGAUUAGCUAGUUGGUGGGGUAACGGCUCACCAAGGCGACGAUCCCUAUCUGGUUUGAGAGGACGACCAGCCCCACUGGGACUGAGACACGGGCCAAACUCCUACGGGAGGGAGAAGUGGGGAAUUUUGGACAAUGGGGGAAACCCUGAUCCAGCCAUCCCGCGUGUGCGAUGAAGGCCUUCGGGUUGUAAAGCACUUUUGGCAGGAAAGAAACGUCAUGGGCUAAUACCCCGUGAAACUGACAGUACCUGCAGAAUAAGCACCGGCUAACUAC